rnacentral:tRNA from 1 species
GGCGUGGUAGCAAAGUGGUUACUGCGACAGACUAGAAAUCUGUUCUCUUCGGAGGCGCAGGUUCGAAUCCUGCCCACGUCG